rnacentral:lncRNA from 1 species
GAAGUCAAGGGUGUGACUGAGAGCAGUCUGAGAGAGGGUGACCUAUUUUUGGAAAGAGCACAGUUUGUGUGUCAGACACACUGGCUUUGAAUUCUAUCUCUACCUCUUUUUAGCUGUGAGACUUUGCACCCAUUACUAUCCUACUCAGAACCUCAACUUACUGUUUGUGAGACAGAGGGGAUAGCAGGGGCCUCACGGGGUCUUAGGAGCUUUAAAUGAUGUACCACGUUAAGUUCUAGAAUGUUCCAGAGUUGGAGUUUACACAAAGUGGCAGCUAUUUCUAUUUUAGUAAGAACUAGGGCAAGGAGAGAAUACUGCUUCUGAAGAGGUGCUCAGAGGAAGGUGAGCAUUGAGGGAGACUGAGAAGGAAAAGUCAGAGAGAUAGGGGGAGAAAUAGGCAAGAGUGUGGGGUAAGGAAGUCAAAAUCCAAGAAGGCUUCAAGAAAACAAUUGGUCAGCAAUGUGAUGUGCCGUAGAGAAGUCAAGAAGAUGAGCACGGAAUCCAGCACAGGAGAUGUGGCCGUCAGGAAGUCUAGGGGCAAAGAGACCUCGCCUUGAAGUAAAUGAGAGAGACAGAGUCUCACUCCAUCAACUAAGCUGGAGUGCAGUGGCAUGAUUGCAGCCCUGAACUCCUGGCAUGAGCCACAGUGCUUGGCCAUAAAUGUAAUUUUAAUAGAAUGGAAUGCUCUUAUAUGGACCACCGAUUUGCAGGAUUAGCACUGACUCAUAAGACUCAAAGGAACUUUGGACUGCCAUCUAUUGAAUUUCAUCUAUAUUAAAAGAAAAUGAAACCUCCUGAGCUGUCCGGUAAUAGAAAGAAGCUGCAGAACCCUGUUGUCUUCAUCUUUUGUUUAACUCAUGCAACAUUUGAAAGCACGUUUGCCUACAAGAAAUAAAACUUAAGUUGUGAAAUGGCUUAUUAAUGAACUCAGAUGACAAGAAACCAAAACAGCGGGCCUGGCUGAAGGAUUCAUCCCUAGCCCUGAAAGCCAGCGGGGUCUUUCUGUAACAUCAAAGGCACAAACAAUUGAACCGACAUGGGGACUUAUUCUGUCCAGCAGCCCUGGUGGCCUCAGACCAUCCGAAGCAAGGGUAACCUACCAGAAAGCUGCUAGAUGUUCCCCACUACAGUGAAGGAUUAAACAAAGAAUGAAGAAGAAGUAGGACUCAAGAAGUAAAUGAUCCAACUCAAGAAAGAGAUGACCAAGUGGAAUACCUUUUAAAGGCUUCAAGACUUUUCUUUCCCACUCCUCCCUGCCCAUGCGAGGGAGGCUCCAUUUUAAAAUGUAACACACACACACAAAAAAACGGAUUUGAAAUAAGGCAUUAGCCUGAGGUAACUUACCCCCACCUUGGCUCCAGAGCAGCUUGGAUUUCCGAUUCUUUGAGCAGGUCAGUGAUUUGGGGAACCAGUAAAAGAGCCGGGCUAUUCUUCUGAAGGUCUCAUGAAAGUCACUUCUUAUGGCCAUAGCGAGAACCAGGAGUGUUCCAGAAUGACUCGCUACAGAGAGCAUGGAUGAGGAGCACAGUAACACCCACAUAUGACACUUUAGCUGUGAACUGCCUUUCAGCCAAUAUGUCUGGGGACCACCUGUUAGCCCUAAAUCCCCUUCCUCUGUCAUUCUUUUGGCUUGUCCUUUAGACCUUGGCCCUCAUAACUAGAAACUGUAUUAAUAGAUGUUCUUUCUAAAGAAAGAGUUUUAAGCUUUCUUAAGAGAAGCUCUAACCUAAUGCAACACUUGGUAAUUUUCAAGCAUGGACCUCCUGACCUCGUUCAUAAAAACACAAUUUUUUCAUAGAGGAGUGAAAAAAAACAGGAUCCACUAACUCAACUUCCAACAGAAUUGUCAGUGGUAAUUUGCAGGACUUAGUGGUGAUGGACAAGCAAUCUCCUAAAGCCAUAGCCUUGAUCCCAUUUGUUUUGUGCAUUUUUACUGGAAAAAUGAAACCUAUUUGAAACUUUAGCAGGAAUUUAUCCCAGAAAAAAAAAAAUUAGUUCUUAUGAGUCAAAAAAUGUGUAAAAGGGCCAGGCACAGGGGCUCACACCUGUAAUCCCAGCACUUUGGGAGGCUGAGGUGGGAGGAUUGCUUGAGCCCAGGAGUUCAAGACCAGCCGAGCCAACAAAGCGAAAUGCUGUCUCUAGAAAAAGGAAAAAAAAAGCUGGGCAUGGUGGCACGUACCUAUAGUCCCAGCUACUCAGGAGGCUGAGGUGGGAGGACUGCUAGAAUCCAGAAGAUGGAAGCUGCAGUGAGCUAUGAUAGCACUACUGCACUCCAGCCUGGGUGACAGAGCAAGACUCUUCAAAAAAAAAAAAAAGAUGCAAAAGACCAUUUUCCCCCAGGGUCCUAUUUUGAUCUUUAACCAUUUAUUGAACAAUUCUCUAGAACUUCUAACAUUGUAACAUUACUGAAUCCAUUUCAGCAUUUCAGCAGACAUCAAUGCCUAGUUGUCUACCACGCAGCUUGUACUGAGGUUCCCCAUCAUCACUCCUAAGACUAUGUCUAACAGUUGGUCCUUGUGCAUUCUGUUUAUGUCAAAAGAAAUAAACUUAUUCAUAUAUUCAUUUAGGAGCUAAGUCGAUUAAACAGCCUGAUGUAAUAUUUGGGCUUGCUUUUUAUAUGCCACAGCAAAUUUUUGGAGCUGAUUUACUCUCUAAAGAGAAACAACGGAUAUUAUUAUAUUGCCAGUUUUUAUUUCCAGAUCAGAUGUUUUUGUUUCCUAUUCCAUUUUCAGUAUUUCUUAGGAAUUUGGACUUUGAUUCUUCUUACAAGUGACAAGUGGGGAGCAAGUCUAACUAAAACAACAGUGUAAGAGUUUUUCAGGUCUUCUUAAAAGUGGGAUGUGGGGUGGAGAAUCCAGCUAAAAUAGUAAAGAUUUCUUUCAAUGUUUUUCCCUUCAACUAUGUGUGUCUGCCCCAGCACUUCUCAGUUUCAAAAAUUUGUUUGAGUAAUUAUAAAUUUUCUGCAGCACUUCCUCAAAGACAAAGCACAACAUAUAAAACACAUCGGAGUGAGGUGAAAUUAGAAACAAAAGACUAGCUCUUGGCCGGGUGCGGUGGCUCAUGCCUGUAAUCCCAGCACUUUGGGAGGCUGAGGCAGGCGGAUAACCUGAGGUCAGGAGUUUGAGACCAGCCUGACCAACAUGGUGAAACCCCGUCUCUAAUAAAAAUACAAAAAUUAGCCG